GGGGUGUGCUCAGAGCAGGGGGUCUGAAGAAACAGCUCCUCUGUUUACAGCAUAUCCAACAGGAAUCUGGGUGCACUGUGACAAGGGACACAAAACUUGUGGCUUUCCUAUGAGCAAAUACCCAACCCGU
rnacentral:snoRNA from 1 species